rnacentral:misc_RNA from 1 species
UUUCCGUAGGUGAACCUGCGGAAGGAUCAUUAUUGAAUGAAACACUUCUGGCUUUAUGCUGUUGUGCUUGCCCUUUGGGCAAUGUGCACACGGCUCUGGUCACUUGUUUCUUCUGUUCCACCUGUGCACUGCCUGUAGACACGCUGUGUCUAUGAUAUUUGUUAACACACAACAAUGUUAGUUGGCAUGUUAUAUAUAAUAAUAAAAUAUACAACUUUCAACAACGGAUCUCUUGGCUCUC